GCUAACGUCGUGUCAGCAGCCGGGGGAAUCCGUGUGGUUGUAGCGUGGUUCUGAAUCAUUGGGCGUAAAGCGCGUGUAGGUGGUUAUUUAAGUCGAGUGUGAAAUCCCUGGGCUCAACCGAGGAAGUGCAUUCGAAACUGAAUAGCUAGAAGAUGGUAGAGGAAGGUGGAAUUCCUAGUGUAGAGGUGAAAUUCGUAGAUAUUAGGAGGAAUACCGGUGGCGAAGGCGGCCUUCUGGGCCAUUCUUGACACUGAGACGCGAAAGCGUGGGGAGCAAACAGGAUUAGAUACCCGGGUAGUC
rnacentral:rRNA from 1 species